rnacentral:rRNA from 1 species
GAACUUAGCAGAGAUGCUUUGGUGCCUUCGGGAACUCUGAGACAGGUGCUGCAUGGCUGUCGUCAGCUCGUGUUGUGAAAUGUUGGGUUAAGUCCCGCAACGAGCGCAACCCUUAUCCUUUGUUGCCAGCGGCUCGGCCGGGAACUCAAAGGAGACUGCCGGUGAUAAACCGGAGGAAGGUGGGGAUGACGUCAAGUCAUCAUGGCCCUUACGGCCCAGGGCUACACACGUGCUACAAUGGCGCAUACAAAGAGAAGCGACCUCGCGAGAGCAAGCGGACCUACAUAAAGUGCGUCGUAGUCCGGAUUGGAGUCUGCAACUCGACUCCAUGAAGUCGGAAUCGCUAGUAAUCGUAGAUCAGAAUGCUACGGUGAAUACGUUCCCGGGCCUUGUACACACCGCCCGUCACACCAUGGGAGUGGGUUGCAAAAGAAGUAGGUAGCUUAACCUUCGGGAGGGCGCUUACCACUUUGUGAUUCAUGACUGGGGUGAAGUCGUAACAAGGUAGGCGUAGCGAG